GUACUCGCUUCGCCUUUACAUGUAAUAGAAUUGCAACGAUGCAGAGAAGUUUGGCUUGGCGCCUGCGCAAGAAUGAUACGUAAAAUAAAAAAAUUAAAAAUUAAA